GCGAAAGUGGCUCAGUGGUAGAGCAUCGCCUUGCCAAGGCGAGGGUCGCGGGUUCAAAUCCCGUCUUUCGCU
rfam:Alkalibacter saccharofermentans DSM 14828 genome assembly, contig: EJ14DRAFT_scaffold00003.3